rnacentral:rRNA from 1 species
CCUACGGGGGGCAGCAGCAGGGAAUCUUGCGCAAUGGGCGAAAGCCUGACGCAGCGACGCCGCGUGAGGGAUGAAGGUCUUCGUGAUCGUAAACCUCUGUCAGGAAGGAUUAAAGCAUCGGUGUUAAUACCACCAGGUGUCUGACUUAACUUCCAGAGGAAGCCCCGGCUAACUACGUGCCAGCAGCCGCGGUAG